rnacentral:rRNA from 1 species
UACGUAGGGUGCGAGCGUUAAUCGGAAUUACUGGGCGUAAAGCGUGCGCAGGCGGUUGUGCAAGACAGAUGUGAAAUCCCCGGGCUUAACCUGGGAAUUGCAUUUGUGACUGCACGGCUAGAGUGUGUCAGAGGGAGGUAGAAUUCCACGUGUAGCAGUGAAAUGCGUAGAUAUGUGGAGGAAUACCGAUGGCGAAGGCAGCCUCCUGGGAUAACACUGACGCUCAUGACACGAAAGCGUGGGGAGCAAACAGG